GUGAAGAACGUAGCGAAAUGCGAUAAGUAAUGUGAAUUGCAGAAUUCAGUGAAUCAUCGAAUCUUUGAACGCACAUUGCGCCCGUCAGUAUUCUGGCGGGCAUGCCUGUUCGAGCGUCAUUACGCCCCUCAAGUCCCCCGUGGACUUGGUGUUGGGGAUCGGCGAGGCUGGUUUUCCAGCACAGCCGUCCCUUAAAUUAAUUGGCGGUCUCGCCGUGGCCCUCCUCUGCGCAGUAGUAAAACACUCGCAACAGGAGCCCGGCGCGGUCCACUGCCGUAAAACCCCCCAACUUUUUAUAGUUGACCUCGAAUCAGGUAGGACUACCCGCUGAACUUAAGCAUAUCAAUAAGCGGAGGA
rnacentral:misc_RNA from 1 species